AACCUAGCACACCUGCGGUGUGUACCUGCGGAGGGAUCAUUACCGAGUGCGGGUCCGCGUGGCCCAACCUCCCACCCGUGCCUAUUGUACCCUGUUGCUUCGGCGGGCCCGCCAGCCUUCGGGCUGGCCGCCGGGGGGCGUCUCGCCCCCGGGCCCGUGCCCGCCGGAGACCCCAACAUGAACCCUGUUCUGAAAGCUUGGUGUCUGAGUGUGAUUGUUUGCAAUCAGUUAAAACUUUCA
rnacentral:misc_RNA from 1 species